rnacentral:rRNA from 1 species
AUACGGAGGGUGCAAGCGUUAAUCGGAAUUACUGGGCGUAAAGCGUACGUAGGCGGUUAAGUCAGUCAGAUGUGAAAGCCCUGGGCUCAACCUGGGAACUGCAUUUGAUACUGCUUGGCUAGAAUAUGGUAGAGGGAAGUGGAAUUCCGGGUGUAGCGGUGAAAUGCGUAGAUAUCCGGAGGAACACCAGUGGCGAAGGCGGCUUCCUGGACCAAUAUUGACGCUGAGGUACGAAAGCGUGGGUAGCAAACAGGAUUAGAUACCCUAGUAGUCC